GAUGAGCGAUCAUAAGAGUAGCUGGGUAUAUCCUAAUUCCGAAAAAUUUGGGGAAAAAAAAUUAUAUAUUUUUUUUCUUUUGAGUCUUUAUUUAAUAUAUAAAUUUUAUAUAAAUUUAAUAUUUCGCCGAUCGCCUAUGGGGGUUGACCGAAUUUUUAAAAUGAAUUUAUAUAUAAGUGGAUAAAAUAUAUUACUUAUCUCUAUAUGUAUUUAAUCAUUAUCUUUUUAUUUAAAGUACAUUUUAAUUUUAAAGCAAGUAAAAUUUUAACUAUUUCGGGGAUAGGGGUAAUAAAUAAAUUUCACAUUUUCUAAUCUUCUGGGUAACUCGUUCAA
rnacentral:rRNA from 1 species